rnacentral:tRNA from 1 species
CGGAUUAUUCUCAUAGAGGGGGCUUCAUUUACACUGGAAUUUUUGUCGUGCGAGUCGACAUGGUCUGA